rnacentral:rRNA from 1 species
AUUGAACGCUGGCGGCAGGCCUAACACAUGCAAGUCGAGCGGAAACACAAGGGAGCUUGCUCCUGAGGUGUCGAGCGGCGGACGGGUGAGUAAUGCCUAGGUAUCUGCCCAGUCGAGGGGGAUAACAGUUGGAAACGACUGCUAAUACCGCAUACGCCCUACGGGGGAAAGGAGGGGACCUUCGGGCCUUUCGCGAUUGGAUGAACCUAGGUGGGAUUAGCUAGUAGGUGGGGUAAUGGCUCACCUAGGCAACGAUCCCUAGCUGGUCUGAGAGGAUGAUCAGCCACACUGGAACUGAGACACGGUCCAG